rnacentral:rRNA from 1 species
UACAGAGGGUGCAAGCGUUAAUCGGAGUUACUGGGCGUAAAGGGCACGUAGGCGGUUAUGUAAGUCAGUUGUGAAAUCCCCGGGCUUAACCUGGGAACUGCAAUUGAAACUGUGUGACUAGAGUCGAAGAGAGGGAAGCGGAAUUUCCGGUGUAGCGGUGAAAUGCGUAGAUAUCGGAAGGAACACCCGUGGCGAAGGCGGCUUCCUGGCUUCAGACUGACGCUGAGGUGCGAAAGCGUGGGUAGCGAACAGG